CUCGUAGGUGGCCAACUAAGUCAGACGUGAAAUCCCUCAGCUUAACUGGGGAACUGCGUCUGAUACUGGAUGGCUUGAGUUUGGGAGAGGGAUGCGGAAUUCCAGGUGUAGCGGUGAAAUGCGUAGAUAUCUGGGGGAACACCGGUGGCGAAGGCGGCAUCCUGGACCAAUACUGACACUGAGGAGCGAAAGCCAGGGGGAAGCGAAACG
rnacentral:rRNA from 1 species